ACGAGGAAACUUGUGCUAAUACCGGAUAAGUCUUUACGGAGAAAGCUUUAUGCACCAUUGGAUGAGCCUGCACUUGAUUAGUUUGUUGGUGGGGUAAUGGCCUACCAAGACUGUGAUCAAUAGCUGAUUUGAGAGGAUGAUCAGCCACAUUGGGACUGAGACACGGCCCAAACUCCUACGGGAGGCAGCAGUGGGGAAUCUUGCACAAUGGAGGAAACUCUGAUGCAGCGAUGCCGCGUGAGUGAAGAAGGCCCUUGGGUUGUAAAGCUCUUUCGUCGGGGAAGAAAAUGACUGUACCCGAAUAAGAAGGUCC
rnacentral:rRNA from 1 species